CCGACCCUCUUUUUCUCUCUCCCCCUCCCUCUCUUUCUUCCCUCUCACCCCCUCCCUCUCUCCCCCACCCUCUCUCUUCUCUCUCUCCCUCCAAGUCUGGCACUGAACGAGAACUGUUUUGCUUUGCUCCGGGAAGAGUGCAGACACAUAACGUGAAAUCCCGAGCUUUUUGCGUGGUGCAUUUAAAAUGCUUCCUUAUUUAUAUUACCCUCAUUCCCUCACCACCCCCCACCCCCUCACCAGUCCUUCCAAAUUUCCCUAGAAAUCUAUGUAAAGCAUGCGGAGGGGAAAACAUUUGCACAAAAAGUGAAGGAGCUCGCCAAGGAGUUCCCGUUUGGGUGGUCAGACCUGUCCUGACACCCAGAGGUCUGCAUGAGGGAAGGCCACGGAAGGAGGAGUUCUGAAAGGCCACAGGUGAUGAAGAGCUUGGAUGAAUGAACUUAGAAGUCCCAGGAAAAUAGCAAAAAUUUCAUCUCCUGAAGAAAUUUGAAGAGUUUUUUGGAGAUUCUUUUAAAGGCGAAAUUUUUCUUCUUUAGGGUUGGACAACUGAAUUUAAAAGCAAGUUAAAAUUCAAUAUUUUGAACAAUGUUUAAAUGAAGAUGAGUGGGAAGACAGAACUGUUAAAAGGUUUUAUUAUACAGCCAAGUGAAGGAUUCAGCUGUGUCCCAAAGGAUUAAACAAGAUGGUAUGCUUAAUAAUUCCUCACUUCUAUGAAAUUCCCUGAUUAUAAAGUGUUCUUUCAUUCUGUAGAACUACUCCUGAUUUCAUCAGGAAACUCUGAUCUGAAACUCAAUUUACAGAAAUAUUAAAAAUAAAAUUUCAACUAAAUGGGAAUAUUUGUAUACUAAUAUGGUACAAUGUUGUUGCUUUUUUAUAUUAAAUACCAUUCUAAACUCUAAAUUUGUUAAUAAAUGAAGCUGAAAUCUAAUGUGA